rnacentral:ncRNA from 1 species
UCCAUCCUGACGGGUAAGUCCUGUUACGUGCCUUAGGUGUUUCCUUCCAUCGGCUGGCGAUAAGCCUAAGGAUAAGAGCGUAAUAGGGGCCGUCUAUUUU